rnacentral:rRNA from 1 species
AUUGAACGCUGGCGGCAGGCCUAACACAUGCAAGUCGAGCGGAGCGGCGGACGGGGGAGUGAUGCCUAUGAAUCUGCCUGGGCCUGGGCGAUAACGUCAGGUAACGGGCGCAAAUACCGCAUACUAUCACAUGAGCCUAGGUCGGAUUAGCUAGUUGGUGGUGUAAGGGCCUACCCAGGCGACGACCCGUAACUGGUCUGAGAGGAGGAUCAGUAACACUGGAACUGGGACACGGUCCAGACUCCGACGGGAGGCAGCAGUGGGGAAUAUUGGACAAUGGGCGAAAGCCUGAUCCAGCCAUGCCGCGUGUGUGAAGAAGGUCUUCGGAUUGUAAAGCACUUUAAGUUGGGAGGCGGUACCAACAGAAUAAGCACCGGCUAACUUCGUGCCAGCAGCCGCGGUAAUAC